rnacentral:rRNA from 1 species
CCUUCCAUGAAGUCGGAAUUGCUAGUAAUGGCAGGUCAGCAUACUGCCGUGAAUACGUUCCCGGGCCUUGUACACACCGCCCGUCACACCAUGAGAGUUGGGAAUACCCGAAGCCUGUGAGCCAACAAACGAGGCAGCAGUCGAAGGUAGAAUCAAUGAUUGGGGUGAAGUCGUAACAAGGUACC